AAAUGAAUUGACGGGGGCCCGCACAAGCGGUGGAGCAUGUGGUUUAAUUCGAUGCAACGCGAAGAACCUUACCAAGGCUUGACAUCCUCUUGACAGCCCUAGAGAUAGGGUCUCUCUUCGGAGCAAGAGUGACAGGUGGUGCAUGGUUGUCGUCAGCUCGUGUCGUGAGAUGUUGGGUUAAGUCCCGCAACGAGCGCAACCCUUGUCUUUAGUAGCCAGCAGUUCGGCUGGGCACUCUAGAGAGACUGCCGUGGAUAACACGGAGGAAGGUGGGGAUGAGGUCAAAUCAUCAUGCCCUUUAUGCCUUGGGCAACACACGUGCUACAAUGGCGGCUACAAAGUGAUGCGAUCGGGCAACCGUUAGCAAAGCACAAAAAAGCCGUCUCAGUUCGGAUUGGGGUCUGCAACUCGACCCUAUGAAGUUGGAAUCGCUAGUAAUCGCGAAUCAGCAUGUCGCGGUGAAUACGUUCCCGGGCCUUGUACACACCGCCCGU
rnacentral:rRNA from 1 species